UGAUUGAUAACAAGGAAUAAUGCUUAUAUAUAACUAAAUGGUCAUAAAAAAAACGGAGAAAUGGAUAUGACAAUGUCAUGGGAAACAGGGAAACAUCAAACGCCAAAAGUGAAUUCAAAAUCUCUCUCUUUCCAGUGACUGUUCAACAUUGAACUAAGAGAAAAGAAGCCAAGCUUGUGACAUUUUCAUUUAAUGAAAGCAUUUCCAUGAUUGAAAACUCAAUUUGUAACCUUUUCCUACAUUUUCUCAUGAAGCAAACAAAGCAUCACGAUUAACAGAUAAUAAAACAAACCUUAAGAAAAAA
rnacentral:misc_RNA from 1 species